rnacentral:rRNA from 1 species
UGCAAGUCGAACGGCAGCACGGGUGCUUGCACCUGGUGGCGAGUGGCGAACGGGUGAGUAAUAUAUCGGAACGUGCCCUAGAGUGGGGGAUAACGUAGCGAAAGUUACGCUAAUACCGCAUACGAUCUAUGGAUGAAAGUGGGGGAUCGCAAGACCUCAUGCUCCUGGAGCGGCCGAUAUCUGAUUAGCUAGUUGGUGGGGUAAUAGCCCACCAAGGCGACGAUCAGUAGCUGGUCUGAGAGGACGACCAGCCACACUGGGACUGAGACACGGCCCAGACUCCUACGGGAGGCAGCAGUGGGGAAUUUUGGACAAUGGGGGAAACCCUGAUCCAGCAAUGCCGCGUGUGUGAAGAAGGCCUUCGGGUUGUAAAGCACUUUUGUCAGGAACGAAACGGUGGGGGCUAAUAUCCUCUGCUAAUGACGGUACCUGAAGAAUAAGCACCGGCUAACUACGUGCCAGCAGCCGCGGUAAUACGUAGGGUGCAAGCGUUAAUCGGAAUUACUGGGCGUAAAGCGUGCGCAGGCGGUUGUGCAAGACAGAUGUGAAAUCCCCGGGCUUAACCUGGGAAUUGCAUUUGUGACUGCACGGCUAGAGUGUGUCAGAGGGGGGUAGAAUUCCACGUGUAGCAGUGAAAUGCGUAGAUAUGUGGAGGAAUACCGAUGGCGAAGGCAGCCCCCUGGGAUAACACUGACGCUCAUGCACGAAAGCGUGGGGAGCAAACAGGAUUAGAUACCCUGGUAGUCCACGCCCUAAACGAUGUCUACUAGUUGUCGGGUCUUAAUUGACUUGGUAACGCAGCUAACGCGUGAAGUAGACCGCCUGGGGAGUACGGUCGCAAGAUUAAAACUCAAAGGAAUUGACGGGGACCCGCACAAGCGGUGGAUGAUGUGGAUUAAUUCGAUGUCACGCGAAAAACCUUACCUACCCUUGACAUGUACGGAACCCUGCUG